rnacentral:rRNA from 1 species
UACGGGGGGGGCAAGCGUUGUUCGGAAUUACUGGGCGUAAAGGGCUCGUAGGCGGCCAACUAAGUCAGACGUGAAAUCCCUCGGCUUAACCGGGGAACUGCGUCUGAUACUGGAUGGCUUGAGUUCGGGAGAGGGAUGCGGAAUUCCAGGUGUAGCGGUGAAAUGCGUAGAUAUCUGGAGGAACACCGGUGGCGAAGGCGGCAUCCUGGACCGACACUGACGCUGAAGAGCGAAAGCCAGGGGAGCAAACGGG